UGAUACUCUACACAGUAUUUGCUGAAUGAAUAAAUCUUGAGUCUUUUAUUAUUCAUUUAUAUAUUUUUUAAAGAUUUUAUUCCUUUAUUUAAGAGAAGGAGAGAGUAAGAGUAGGUAGAAGGGCAGAGGGAGAGGGACAAGCAGAUUCCUUGUUGAGCCCGGAGCCCCAUGCACAGCUCCAUCCCAGGACCCCAAGAUCAUGACCUCAGCUAUGUCCAAGGCUUAACCAACUGAGCCACGCAGUGUCAUUUUGUACAAGCAAAAAGGAAAAGCUGACGUUUUGAACAUCCUGCCUGAAAAACAUCUUUCCCAAGACUACACAUUCAUUAGAGACAGAGUUUAUGCUAUUCGUUGCUGUAUAUGAAGAAUAUAUUCUCUGGUGUUCAGAAGAUCAGAAAAUCUGAUUCCUGUUCAGGGCAUACCCACUUGUACAUUGUUCACUGACAACUGCUUCCAAACACCAAGGGGCCCAGGGGUCCAGCUCUGUGCUGUCUUAGUCAAGAAACCUCCCCUAUUUCUUACAGGACUGUGAGUUUCUUACAGUAGUCCUUUAACUUACAGUUGCAAAUAAGUGAAUCCCCUAAGAAAGUGACUUAAACAGUGACUUUUGCAUACAAAAGUUCUGGAGCGAGACAGCUCCAUAUUGAGCACAGAAGCUUUCUGGCAAUACUGAAAGCCCAUCUUCUCACCUUGUUAACCUCAUAGUAUUGCACGAGUCUAAGGAUGCUGUGGAAAACUGCUAGAUACCAGCUCAAAGUCUUUUCUCCUCAGGGCGCAGGUGGCUCAGUGGGUAAAGCCUCUGUGUUCGGCUGAGGUCAUGAUCCCAGGGUCCUAGGAUCGAACCCCGCAUUGAGCCCCACAUCGAGCCCCACAUCGGGCUCUCUGCUCAGCAGGGAGCCUGCUUCCUCUCUCUCUGCCUGCUUCUCUGCCUACUUGUGAUC